UUGUGGCACAUCAGUUAUUUUUGCCACUAAAUCCAUUUCUUUUUAUUUAUUUUAUAUGUACUAGUGCCUACUCUAUUACGAGUAUAUUUCUUUUAGAAUAAAACCUUUUUAUGAAUCAAUUUACUAUCCCUGAUACUCUUUUAGGUUUUCCUAUCAAAACUAAAAACCAAAUUGGCGGCCUAUUUCUAAUUUUCAGAUCCGCGCCUCAUCUAAAAUCUUAAAAAGAUGGCGGCCAUUUUCAAGGGUUUCCAUCUUAAAAUUUUGAAUCGCCCAUCUAUAGAUCUAAAAUAAUGGCAACCAUUUCGUUUCUUUUAUUUCCCCCCAUCUAAACUCAAAAUAAUAUUGGGGGUACGUAAUCACAAGUUGUUAGUCACACAUAUUCAAGUUGGUUCUGCAAUUGAAUAUCAAACUUACAAUUGAGUCAUAGAGGGCCCUCAACCUUGUAAUAGGUGAAUGUUUAUGCUCCUUUAACUGCUUAGUUAUAUUGAUAUUUUACUUUAUUUAUCAUCUAUUUAUUAAGGGGUUCUUUUUAUUGUUAAUUUUUGUGUAAUAUCAAUCAUGGUAGUGGAUGUGUAUUUCUAUGUUUUACUAACCAUUGCAAUUUCAGUUAUCAUUAAUGGUUUAAAUAUAAAAUGCAAUCUGACUGCUCAUACGUGAUAGCAAUCAUGAUUUAUCCUUAUACAUAUUGUUGGUUACGAAAAGGCUUAUAAAUAGAUGUGUGUAUAUAUUUACCUACCAGUUCAUGGGAGCCUCAAAGUAUUUCUUAGGUGAUACUUUUGUCGGUUGAUUCUUGUCUACCUUAGUGAGUUUCAUAAGGAUGAGAUUGAGUUCUGCU